rnacentral:rRNA from 1 species
GUAGUUCACGCCGUAAAACGAUGAAUACUAGGUGUUGGGGAGCAAGCUCUCGUGCAGUCGCUUACGCAUUUAGUAUUCCACCUGGGGGAGUACGUUCGCAGAAUAAAACUCAAAGGAAUUGACGGGGACCCGCACAAGCGGUGGAGCAUGUGGUUUUAAUUCGAAGCAACGCGAAGAACCUUUACCAGGUCUUGACAUCGAUCUGAAUGUGAUGCAAAAGUCGCAGCCCUUUCGGGGCAGAGAAGACAGGUGGUGCAUGGUUGUCGUCAGCUCGUGUCGUGAGAUGUUGGGUUAAGUCCCGCAACGAGCGCAACCCUUGUCCUAAGUAGCCAGCGGUUUGGCCGGGCACUCUUGGGAGACCGCCGGGGAUAACCCGGAGGAAGGUGGGGAUGACGUCAAAUCAUCAUGCCCCUUAUGAUCUGGGCUACACACGUGCUACAAUGGCGUAAACAAAGGGACGCAAAGGAGCGAUCCGGAGCAAAUCCCAAAAAUAACGUCUCAGUUCGGACUGCAGGCUGCAACUCGCCUGCACGAAGCUGGAAUCGCUAGUAAUCGCGGAUCAGCAUGCCGCGGUGAAUACGUUCCCGGGUCUUGUACACACCGCCCGUCACACCAUGGGAGUCGGUAAUGCCCGAAGCCAGUGGCUCAACCUUACGGAGGGAGCUGUCGAAGGCAGGACUGAUAACUGGGGUGAAGUCGUAACAAGGUAGCCGUA